GACGAACGCUGGCGGCGUGCUUAACACAUGCGAGUCGAACGGAAAGGCCCUUCUGGGUACUCGAGUGGCGAACGGGUGAGUAACACGUGGGUGAUCUGCCCUGCACUUUGGGAUAAGCCUGGGAAACUGGGUCUAAUACCGAAUAGGACCACGCGCUUCAUGGUGUGUGGUGGAAAGCUUUUGCGGUGUGGGAUGGGCCCGCGGCCUAUCAGCUUGUUGGUGGGGUAAUGGCCUACCAAGGCGACGACGGGUAGCCGGCCUGAGAGGGUGACCGGCCACACUGGGACUGAGAUACGGCCCAGACUCCUACGGGAGGCAGCAGUGGGGAAUAUUGCACAAUGGGCGCAAGCCUGAUGCAGCGACGCCGCGUGAGGGAUGACGGCCUUCGGGUUGUAAACCUCUUUCAAUAGGGACGAAGCGCAAGUGACGGUACCUACAGAAGAAGCACCGGCCAACUACGUG
rnacentral:rRNA from 1 species